CCAGCCGGCCGGACGGCCGCCGCGCGCGAGCGCGGAGGAAAGUCCGGGCUCCACGGAAACACGGUGCCGGAUAACGUCCGGCGGGGGUGACCCCAGGGAUAGCGCCACAGAAAGCAGACCGCCCGGCGGUGGGAGCGAUCCCCCCGUCCGGGUCAGGGUGAAAGGGUGCGGUAAGAGCGCACCGCGGAGGCGGCAACGUCGACGGCACGGCAAGCCCCACCGGGAGCAAGAUCGAAUAGGGGCGACGGGACGCGGUCCGGCGAAGCCGGGUCGUCGUCCAACCCGUUUCCGGGCUGUCGCCCGGGUUGAUCGCUCGAGGCGGCCGGCGACGGUCGUCCCAGAGGAAUGGUCGUCACGUGCGGCGGGUUCGCCCGUCGCGCCAUACAGAACCCGGCUUACAGGCCGGCUGGCACC
rnacentral:RNase_P_RNA from 1 species